AGUUGCGUGGUUGUUGAUUGUCACUCUCAUUCCAAAAUAUACGAGUGAGUUAUCAUUAAUGCAAUUCGCAUUUGAGCUGCACGACGAGACGUUAUUUAUCUUAGCUCGUGAUUGCAGAUACUAGUAAGCCUGCAAGCGAAUUUCCUUGACAUUUGGCAUGUCGGUUGAAGUUUAGUGGAAUGGGAUAAAAUAACUCAAUAAAAAUUGGUGAAAGUCUGUGAAUUACAGAUGACGGAGUUCGUACAUUGCAGAAUGAAUUCUUAAUGUAAACGUACACAUGCUGGUUUCACACGUUGAAAAAAUAAAUAAACAUCAAUAUGUAACGUUGAACAUCACGGAAUCGACUAAAAAAGGAAAUUGAUAAGAUUCCAUCUUAUACAAGAGAUGCGGUUGAUCCAAAAAUAGAAUGUAACAUCGCUGGAUAACACAUUUGACAGCUAGCAGAGGGAUUGCAUCAUACUUUUGAUAAAUACGCAGAAUUUAUGAGCGUUUUGUGGUGAUUAUAACCUUCUAAUUUUAUAUCUAUUUGUAAGACUUCUAAACCAGCACGCCAAAAUAUUUGGCAUGAAAUACGAGUUGAAAAAUAUCAGGUGUUAGCUACGGCCACGGCCGUACAGUGAAUGUGCCUUGACGAUAAAUAAAGCUAUGUUGGUUUUUUUUUUUUAUUAUGGCGCGAAAAUAGCAAUUUUGCAUUUUGUAUCUGGAUAAAAACUGGUUCAGGAUGGUUUCAAUUAUGUUUCAUUAGCAAAUAUUGAU